rnacentral:lncRNA from 1 species
GGGAGUGCAAAUCAAAACCUUAACAUUGGGGGAAGUGUGAAUCGGAACCCUAAUAAUGGUAGAAACUAUCGGCCUGUGAAUUUGGAAGAAAAUAAGCCUCUGACGCAGGAGAGGAAUGGAGGUAACCAGCUACCUAUGAGGGGUUAUCAUGUGGAAUUUCCUACGUUUGAUGGUUGGGGUUUGAAGGAUUGGCUUUAUAAAUGUGAGCAAUUUUUUGAAGUUGAUGAAAC